CCCAAAAAAAAACCCCCCCCCCCAAAAAGGGGGGGGGGGGGAAAAAAAUUUGGAAAAAAAAAGGGGGGGUUUUUUUUUUUUUAAAAAAAAAAAAAGAAAAAAGGAAAAAAAAAUUUUUUUUGGGUUUCCCCCCUUUUUUUCCCCCCCCCCAAAA